GAUGAACGCUGGCGGCGUGCUUAACACAUGCAAGUCGAACGAUUAACCCGCCCUCGGGCGGUUAUAGAGUGGCGAACGGGUGAGUAACACGUGACCAACCUGCCCCUUGCUCCGGGAUAACCCAGGGAAACCUCGGCUAAUACCGGAUACUCCGCCAGGCCCGCAUGGGCCGGGCGGGAAAGCCCAGACGGCGAGGGAUGGGGUCGCGGCCCAUUAGGUAGACGGCGGGGUAACGGCCCACCGUGCCCGCGAUGGGUAGCCGGGUGGAGAGACCGAUCGGCCACAUUGGGACUGAGAUACGGCCCAGACUCCUACGGGAGGCAGCAGUGGGGAAUUUUGCGCAAUGGGGGAAACCCUGACGCAGCAACGCCGCGUGCGGGACGAAGGCCUUCGGGUUGUAAACCGCUUUCAGCAGGGAAUAUCGUGAAGGUACCUGCAGAAGAAGCUCCGGCUAACUACGUGCCAGCCGCCGCCGUAA
rnacentral:rRNA from 1 species